GCUGGGUGUGGUGGCACACACCUGUAAUCCCAGAACUUGGGAGCCUGAGGCAGGAGGACUGCAAGUUCAAAGCCAGCCUCAA
rnacentral:sRNA from 1 species